GUGAGUGUGAGAGAAGGUGCGAGAGUGAGUGUGAGAGAAGGUGCGAGAGUGAGUGUGAGAGAAGGUGUGAGAGUGAGUGUGAGAGCAGGUGUGAGAGUGAGUGUGAGAGCAGGUGUGAGAGUGAGUGUGAGAGCAGGUGUGAGUGUGAGAGCAGGUGCGAGAGUGUGUGUGAGAGAAGGUGUGAGAGUGAGUGUGAGAGAAGGUGUGAGAGUGAGAGUGAGAGCAGGUGCGAGAGUGAGUGUGAGAGCAGGUGUGAGAGUGAGUGUGAGAGAAGGUGUGAGAGUGAGAGUGAGAGAAGGUGCGAGAGUGAGUGUGAGAGAAGGUGCGAGAGUGAGUGUGAGAGAAGGUGUGAGAGUG